AGUGAACGCUGGCGGUAGGCCUAACACAUGCAAGUCGAACGGCAGCACAGUAAGAGCUUGCUCUUACGGGUGGCGAGUUGCGGACGGGUGAGGAAUACAUCGGAAUCUACUUUUUCGUGGGGGAUAACGUAGGGAAACUUACGCUAAUACCGCAUACGACCUACGGGUGAAAGCAGGGGAUCUUCGGACCUUGCGCGAUUGAAUGAGCCGAUGUCGGAUUAGCUAGUUGGCGGGGUAAAGGCCCACCAAGGCGACGAUCCGUAGCUGGUCUGAGAGGAUGAUCAGCCACACUGGAACUGAGACACGGUCCAGACUCCUACGGGAGGCAGCAGUGGGGAAUAUUGGGCAAUGGGCGCAAGCCUGAUCCAGCCAUACCGCGUGGGUGAAGAAGGCCUUCGGGUUGUAAAGCCCUUUUGUUGGGAAAGAAAAGCAGCAGGUUAAUACCCCGCUGUUCUGACGGUACCCAAAGAAUAAGCACCGGCUAACUUCGUG
rnacentral:rRNA from 1 species